UUUCCUCUGAAUCAUGAGAGGAGAUGAUUUUUCACUGUCACUAAAUCUUAUAUCAAAACCGGGUGAGCUGCUGGUGGCUGGCGCUGGUCCUUUCUUAUUCGUAGAUAACAAAGACAAUGCUGGUGAUAUUGGUUCAUAUAUAUAUAUAUAUAUCAGUAAAUUGCGCCGAAGCUCGAAGGUGAUUCCUUGUUGUCUGACAACCUGUUUUAUUUUACAGUCCACUGAUUGGAUUAGGAUAUUCCUAUUAAUUAACUCUCUGACAACGGAAAAAACUUUUCUUUGUUAUUGGUUGAGUUUACCGCUUUGACCAGGUGUAAUGUUCAUAUGAUAUACUUCGCACGCGCGCUCUUCCCACAUCCAACAUAUUGAGCUUCAAUUGUCAAUGCCAGUAGUUUUGAGAGGGAGUUUAUAUAUAUAGAUAUGCCACAAAUGAAAAAGUGGUCGGUUCGCGUAAGGCAAGGAAAGGCGUAUGUAUAUGUUGCUGGAAAGCCGCUAGCAAAGACAGGCGUCGAGUAUCAUCAGUGCUGCCGGCGUGAAAAAUGAGGAUAAUAAGCCUCUCAAUUAAGGGAAUAUAUUAGCAGGCAUGAACGAGACUGUUGAAGCAUUUGUUGUCUUCAUGCAUGCUUCGGUAUCUGGGCGAAUUCUGCCAGAACACUUCAACUUCACGUUUGGCAAGGUCCCAAACUUCAUUUGUGUCAAUUCGGCAAACAGAGAAUUUGAGACAUGUUUGCGGCUGGUAGAAAUGUUCAGUCACUCAGGUGACUGGAUAUUGGAUGUUAAUUUACCCGAAGCUGGCGGUGUUGCAGCAGUCACGAUCAAACGCAAUUGCCUCAUUCUGGUAAAAACAGAAGAGGAGGAACGAGAGGCCAGGCGAAAGUUGAAAGAACUUUAGAACCUAUAAAUCUAUAUAUAUAUUAUAUAUCUUCAUUGUGUGCUGGGUAUUCCCGGCUCUACGUGCGAAAACAUACAAUAACGAAAAUUUAAUUAAGACAACUUACUUUUUAAAUUGUCAGAAUGUUCCUUUGCAAUUUACAAAAUAUACUUCUAAAUUGGUUUCACUUGACCAUUGCCCAUUCGACUUGCGUAGAGAAUAUAACCCGAAUAAUUGUAGAUACAAUGCACUGCGUAACUCGGACACCCCUAUAUGUCUCUCGCAUUGAGAUAUAAGGGUUUCCGAAAUUCGGACACCCCAAUAUGUCUCUCACAUUGAGAUAUAAGGGUUUCCGAAAUUCGGA